GCUUUAUAUACCCUAGACGGUAGAGCGUUAGUCUCGUAAUCUGAUGGUCAUCAGUUCGAUCCGGUCAGGAGGCA